rnacentral:lncRNA from 1 species
CUCCUGGGUUGUGCAUUCGAAGGUCAUUAUUACGUGGAUAUGUGCCUCCCGAUGGGUUGUGCGAUAUCCUGUUUUUAUUUCGAAUGUUUCAGUUCCUUCAUGGAGUGGGUAGUGAGAGCGGAGUCCGGUUACGAUUCCUUGCUUCACUACCUAGACGACUUUUUAUGUGUGGGCCCUGCGCACUCCCCGAUAUGCGCGCAGCUUCUGCAAGCAGUGGCGGAUGUGGCCUGCGAGUUCGGGGUGCCGCUGGCACCAGACAAAACGAUUGGCCCUUCCACGUGCCUGUGCUUUCUCGGGAUCGAGAUUGAUUCCGUUAUUGGGGAAUGUCGGCUUCCUUUGGAUAAAUUGUCUAAUCUUCGGGAGGUGGUGCACGUGGCGAGCGCAUCCCUGUUGGGCAAGCUGAACUUUGCCUGUCGGAUUAUGCCCAUGGGCAGAGUGUUCAACCGGCGCCUGGCAGCCGCUACGGCUGGGAUAUUGAGGCCGUCCUACUUCGUCCGCUUGACCAAAGCGCUCAGGGAGGACUUGGCAGUAUGGGCGGUUUUUCUGGAUGGGUACAACGGCAGGUCCUACUGGCAGCAGCCUGAGGUGACGAACUCGGUGCUGCACCUGUUUACGGAUGCCGCGGGUUCAUCGGGUUUUGGGGCUAUUAUGGGUAGGCAAUGGUGUGCGGAACCUUGGCCCGAAUCGUGGUUCACCUCUGGCCUGACCAAGAACAUGGCAUUCUUGGAGCUCUUCCCCAUUGUGGUGGCUAUCCAUCUUUGGGGGCCAGAGAUCAAGAACAGGCGUGUCGUGUUCCACUGUGACAACCUGGGCGUUGUCCAGGCCAUUAAUAGGUUAACGGCCUCCUCCCCUCCAGUGGUCAGGCUCCUGCGGCGAUUGGUUUUACGAUGCCUGUCUUUUAACGUGACAUGCCGCGCUGUGCAUAUUCCUGGUGUGGAGAAUACCACGGCUGACGCUCUUUCUCGUUUCCAAUGGCAGGUGUUUCGUUUGGCCGCGCCGGAAGCAGAUAUGGAAGGCCUCCCCUGUCCCAGAGAGCUAUGGUCCCUUGGCCUGAGCGAAUAAGGGAAUGGAUUCGGUCUUCGGUGUCAGAGGCAACUUAGGUUCGGUACGGUAAGGCAUGGGGAGACUGGGUCGCUUUAGAACAGGACCUAGGUGGGUUCGCCUCGACUGCUGAAAGGGUUCAGGGGAUGUUACGGUUGCUCUGGUUCUGGGAAGCUAGCGGGUGUUCUCCGGCUACGGUUUCGGGAAAGCUAUCGGGUCUUAGUUUCUGGUUCAACUUGACUCAGGUGCCGGAUGUUACUAAGGACUGCAUGGUUCGGCUUGCAAUGCGCGGCUGGCGUAGGGGCCCUCACCUGCGGGAUUCUCGGAGGCCGGUUUCAGGUGCACUGCUAUUAGGUAUCGCGUCGGUCCUACCCAGGGUCUGCUUUUCCGAUCUGGAAGCGCGUUUGUUUCGGGUGGCUUUUACUUUCGCUUUCUUUGGCGCUCUACGGAUCGGUGAGCUUGUGAGCCCUAGCAAACAGAUCCCGGGGGGCUUGUUGUUCAACGAUGUGUCUGUCGUGAAUGAUACGGUGCGUUUUUUGGUGCGGAGGUCCAAAACCGACAUCUUCGGCAAGGGGCAUGGGUUACCCUCCGCGCCAUUCCCGGUUCGGCCGUCUGCCCUGUCGCAUCCUUUCAGUCUUACUGUCUUGGUCGUCCGGGUGUUGCGGGCCCGUUAUUAAUUCAUGGGACGGUUCCUUCCUUUCUCGCUUCCAAUUUCUCCGGGUCUUUCGGUUGGCACUCGAACAACUGGGUAUUUCGAGCGCAGACUUUGGGGCGCAUUCUUUCCGGAUUGGGGCCGCAACUGAAGCCUCCCGUUUAGGUUUUUCGGACCAGGCCAUUCAAAGGACUGGUAGAUGGGAAUCGGGGAGGUUUUGGUCCUAUGUACGGCCCACACGUCUGAUCGGUAUCCCCCUUGUGUUUUCUCCACAGGGCCCGGCCGACGGAUCUGGCUGAUCGGUCAUUCUUACAUCUACUGGGCCCAACUGCGGGCAGGGGUUCGCCCGGGUGGGACACGGCUUGGAAUACCUCGGGAGCUGGCGGAGGUCCGGUGGUUCGGGUUCCGGGGCAUGAGAUGGGGUCAGCUAUUGCCGGAGGUUGUGCAGUUGUCUACUUUAUUACGGGCCCCGGAUGUCUUAGUGGUGCAUCUGGGGGGAAACGAUCUGGGGUCGCUGCCUGCGUGGGGCCUGGGGGAACUGAUCAGGCGAGAUUUGGCGCGCUUGCGAGUGCUUUUUCCACAACUUUGCCUAGUUUGGUCGGGUAUCGUUUCCAGGAAUUAUUGGAAGUGCGCACGUGAUCAGGGUGCUAUUGAGCGCUGUAGGGUAAAAAUUAAUAAGUGG